UGGGGGAUAUUGCACAAUGGGCGAAAGCCUGAUGCAGCGACGCCGCGUGGGGGAUGAAGGCCUUCGGGUUGUAAACUUCUUUUGCUCUGAACAAGGCAUGCCUUUGGGGUGUGUUGAGUGUAGGGGUUGAUUAGCGCCGGCUAACUACGUGCCAGCAGCCGCGGUAAUACGUAGGGCGCGAGUGUUGUCCGGAAUUAUUGGGCGUAAAGGGCUUGUAGGUGGCUGGUUGCGUCUGUCGUGAAAGCUCAUGGCUUAACUGUGGGUUUGCGGUGGGUACGGGCUGGCUUGAGUGCAGUAGGGGAGGCUGGAAUUCCUGGUGUAGCGGUGGAAUGCGCAGAUAUCAGGAGGAAUACCGGUGGCGAAGGCGGGUCUCUGGGCUGUUACUGACGCUGAGGAGCGAAAGCGUGGGGAGCGAACAGG
rnacentral:rRNA from 1 species